GUCACUAUACCCCACUCCCUCUAACAUGUAAACUCACUGAGCAGGGCCCUCAAUCCCUCUGUUACUGUGUCACUAUACCCCACUCCCUCUAACAUGUAAACUCACUGAGCAGGCCCUCAAUCCCUCUGUUACUGUCACUAUACCCCACUCCCUCUAACAUUUAAACUCACUGAGCAGGGCCCUCAACCCCUCUGUUCCUGAGU